AGAAUAUUAGUUAAAUUAUAACAUUUAAAUUGCAUUUAAAAAUUAUAUUAAAAUAAUAUAUAUUUUA
rnacentral:tRNA from 2 species